GCCCAGGUGGUGGAAUUGGUAGACACGCNGGACUUAAAAUCCNGUGGGCAGUAAUGUCCGUGCGGGUUCAAGUCCCGCCCUGGGUA
rnacentral:tRNA from 1 species